AUGUACACAAACAUAAAUAUCGCAAUGUACACAUUUACAUGGGACCUCUGGCCCACCCAGGCUCCCGUCUCUGGGUCGGGGGCCCUACGAGGGGCUGGCACGAGAAGGCGGGAACCUGGAGGAGGGCGAGGUCCUGCUCCCCUCCUCUCACAGCACCCCCAAAGCGUCCUGUCCCUUUGCAGCAGUGCUGGCCGGGCAGGGGCCAAACACCUGCGGUGGCUGGAGUCCCAGGCGUCUCCUCUGACCUUCCCAUCUGGCUCUCCUCCCAGACUCUUCCCGGGUCCUUGGGUCUCAGCCUCUGUGUCUCUUGUCUCCCCCAGGGCCUGGAGGGAGGUGGGUGCCCAUGCCCCGGCGCCAGUCCUGGCCCCUCCGGCCUCCUCCUGGGACUCACAGGAGGCUGGGGCUGCGGUGCAGCUCGGCGGAGGUGCUGGUGCCAUUGGCCGGCUCUCUGCUGGGGGCAGGGGUCACGCCGCAGCCCUCCCCGGGGCAGCCGUGCUGGAUGAGGAUGUCGGCACACUCCUGGCUGCCGGCACGGCGAGCGUAGGCCAGCGGGGUCAGGCCGCGGGCAUCCCGGCUCCGCACGUCCACCCCGUACUGCAGAAGGAAGCACGUUCUCACGGUUGGCAGGAAAGGUGUGGGUUCCCCCCCGGGUGGGGGGCGGUGGGGAGGAUGGAUGUCAGGGAGAUCAGGAAGGGCCCCCCAACUCACCCAGAUAAGCAGCUGCGUGAAGACCACAUUGGCCAUGGCGCUGGACAGGUGCAGGGCCGUCCGCCCGUCCCCGUCACCGUAGGUCUCGUUCACCUCCUCCUUGGACCCGUGCGCCAGGAGUGUCACCAGCAGCCGCAGGUCGUCCUCCACCACUGCCCGGAGCAGCUGCUGGCCCAGCGGCACGUCCGAGCUGNNGGCGUCGGGCCCCGGUUUAGCAUAGCCAUCCAGGGCCCCCUCCCAGACGCUGUUGGCCAGGGCGUUGCCCAUGGCGGUCAUGACGGCCAGCAGCUCGGGUGGCCAGUCGUCGAGGUCGAGUGAGCGGACCCGGGAAAGGUGAGCUCCCAAAUGCCGGUGCGUCCCGGAGCACUCGAUGCACAUGAGCGCGCCCAGGUUCAGGCUGGCCCAGUCUGGAUCUAGGCGAGGAGAGGAGAUGAUGGAGCCCCUCCACCCUCGAGCUCCCCGCACCCGGAGCGCCCAGCCUGGUCCCACCGCCCC
rnacentral:lncRNA from 1 species